GUCAGCAGCCGCCGCCGC
rnacentral:miRNA from 1 species